AGGACGGGCCUUUCAGGCAUCCUCUCCCAAAAACUUUCCAAGGGCUGGUCUUCGGACCGGCCUUUUUUUUGUCCGUU
rnacentral:sRNA from 2 species